AACGAACGCUGGCGGCAGGCUUAACACAUGCAAGUCGAGCGCUGUAGCAAUACAGAGCGGCAGACGGGUGAGUAACGCGUGGGAAUCUACCUAGAACUACGGAACAACUGAGGGAAACUUCAGCUAAUACCGUAUACGCCCUACGGGGGAAAGAUUUAUCGGUUUUAGAUGAGCCCGCGUAAGAUUAGCUAGUUGGUGGGGUAAUGGCCUACCAAGGCGACGAUCUUUAGCUGGUCUGAGAGGAUGAUCAGCCACACUGGGACUGAGACACGGCCCAGACUCCUACGGGAGGCAGCAGUGGGGAAUAUUGGACAAUGGGCGCAAGCCUGAUCCAGCCAUGCCGCGUGAGUGAUGAAGGCCUUAGGGUUGUAAAGCUC
rnacentral:rRNA from 1 species